UAGUUGGUGGGGUAAAGGCCUACCAAGGCGACGAUCAGUAGCGGGUCUGAGAGGAUGAUCCGCCACACUGGGACUGAGACACGGCCCAGACUCCUACGGGAGGCAGCAGUGGGGAAUUUUGGACAAUGGGGCAACCCUGAUCCAGCCAUUCCGCGUGAGUGAAGAAGGCCUUCGGGUUGUAAAGCUCUUUCAGCUGGAACGAAACGGUACGUCCUAAUACGGUGUGCUAAUGACGGUACCAGCAGAAGAAGCACCGGCUAACUACGUGCCAGCAGCCGCGGUAAUACGUAGGGUGCGAGCGUUAAUCGGAAUUACUGGGCGUAAAGCGUGCGCAGGCGGAUUGUUAAGCAAGAUGUGAAAUCCCCGGGCUUAACCUGGGAAUGGCAUUUUGAACUGGCAGUCUAGAGUGUGUCAGAGGGGGGUGGAAUUCCACGUGUAGCAGUGAAAUGCGUAGAGAUGUGGAGGAACACCAAUGGCGAAGGCAGCCCCCUGGGAUAACACUGACGCUCAUGUACGAAAGCGUGGGUAGCAAACAGGAUUAGAUACCCUGGUAGUCCACGCCCUAAACGAUGUCAACUGGUUGUUGGGGGAGUGAAAUCCCUUAGUAACGAAGCUAACGCGUGAAGUUGACCGCCUGGGGAGUACGGUCGCAAGAUUAAAACUCAAAGGAAUUGACGGGGACCCGCACAAGCGGUGGAUGAUGUGGAUUAAUUCGAUGCAACGCGAAAAACCUUACCUACCCUUGACAUGUCCAGAACCCUGCAGAGAUGCGGGGGUGCCCGAAAGGGAAUUGGAACACAGGUGCUGCAUGGCUGUCGUCAGCUCGUGUCGUGAGAUGUUGGGUUAAGUCCCGCAACGAGCGCAACCCUUAUCAUUAGUUGCUACGCAAGGGCACUCUAAUGAGACUGCCGG
rnacentral:rRNA from 1 species